GACGAACGCUGGCGGCGGGCUUAACACAUGCAAGUCGAACGGAGUGGCGAACGGGUGAGUGAGACGUGGGUGACCUGCCCUGCACUUCGGGAUAAGCAUGGGAAACUGGGGCUGAUACCGGAUAGUGGGGGAUGGGCCCGCGGCCUAUCAGCUUGUUGGGGGGGUAAGGUCCUGCCAAGGCGGCGACGGGUAGCCGGUCUGAGAGUGUGGACGGCCACAGUGGGACUGAGGCACGGCCCAGACUCCUACGGGAGGCAGCAGUGGGGAAUAUUGCACAAUGGGCGGACGUCUGAUGCAGCGACGUCGCGUGGGGGAUGACGGCCUUCGGGUUGUAAACUCCUUUCACUUUCGACGCGGUAGAUGGAGAAGAAGCACCGGCUAACUACGUGCCAGCAGCCGCGGUAAUUC
rnacentral:rRNA from 1 species